rnacentral:rRNA from 1 species
UACGUAGGUGGCAAGCGUUGUCCGGAUUUAUUGGGUUUAAAGGGUGCGUAGGCGGCUUUGUAAGUCAGUGGUGAAAUAUGGCAGCUCAACUGUCAAGGUGCCAUUGAUACUGCAGAGCUUGAGUACAGAUGAGGUAGGCGGAAUUGACGGUGUAGCGGUGAAAUGCUUAGAUAUCGGCAAGAACACCGAUAGCGAAGGCAGCUUACUAGGCUGUAACUGACGCUGAGGCACGAAAGUGUGGGGAGCAAACAGG